rnacentral:rRNA from 1 species
UACGUAGGGGCAAGCGUUGUCCGGAAUCAUUGGGCGUAAGAAGCGUGUAGGCGGCUAUUUAAGUCCUGCGUGAAAUCCUGCGGCUCAACCGCAGACGGUCGUGGGAAACUGGAUGGCUAGAGUGCGGGAGAGGAGAGUGGAAUUCCCGGUGUAGCGGGUGAAAUGCGCAGAUAUCGGGAAGAACACCCGUGGCGAAGGCGGCUACUCGUGGAACGCAACUGACGCUGAGACGCGAAAGCGUGGGAGCAAACAGG